rnacentral:lncRNA from 1 species
GAGCACCUGUCAUGACUCACACCCUCUACUAGGACCAAGAAAUACAGAGAUGAACAGUCCAGAGCUCCCUGAGCUCGCUCGUGGAGCUCCCUUCCGAGAGCCAUGACAACGUAAGAUGGCAGGCGUCAUAAUCAAAGCAGGUGCGGAGUGCUUCAGAGCUCUGGGAAGUUCCCUGAAGCCAACUUAGCGGAGAGAACCUACUCAGAAACUUCCCCGGAGAAGUGACAUGUUACCUGGGUCUUCACGGAUUAGAGAAAGUCGGCAAAAGAGCAACAGAGAAGGAAGGGAUAUUCAGAAAGGAGGGGUCGCCUUUUCUCAGAGGAGAUAAAAUCAGGGAACUGUAAAUAAUCUAGCCAGGUGGAAGGGAAGCCCCCAAGGAUCGAGGAAGAAAGAGUUUCAGAAGAGAGAGGUAAAUGGGGAACAAGAACAUAAUGGUGAAGGAAUUUAGUCAGAAAGGGACAAAAUUAAAUACACACCUUAGAGGACUCUUGCUGCAGAGAGGAGCCGGCGAAGGGGGACAGGAAGUGCUCAGGCCAAGGGUGUGUGAAGGAUGGGCUCAACAAACAGGAAAGCACCCAUCCGAGAGUCAUGAUGAGUUUGGCACUGACAGGAAAUGGUGGCUGAUUGUGGUGUGUGUGGGACUUAGAAGGGGGGCAGAGGAGGGAGCUGAAGGGAAAGAAAAUGUGGAGAAUGAUCCACAAGUCUCCGAUGUUAGGAACUCUGUGGCCCAGAAGCACCCCUGACUGUCACAGGAACUAGAGCUGGGCCCACUGCCCCCACUGGAGUCUUAAAUGCUCAGGGCAUCAUGGGGCUGGGACUAAGCAGACAUCAGAGCCAACUAGUUAAUAAUAAUAUUACAGUAGCCAACAGUCCACAAAAUAACCUGUAUAACUAGGUGCUGUCACCGGAAUGUUUGCAUCCUUCUCAAACUUCACACGUUGAAAUCCUCACCCCCAAGGUGAUGGUACCAGGAGGUGGGGCCUUUGGGAGGCAUCGGCUCCUUAGGGAUCCGUGCCCUUAUAAAGGAGGCCCAGAGAUCCCUUCCACCAGGUAGCAGCAGACCUUCCCCAGACACUGAACCUGCCAGUGCCAUAAGCUUGGGGCUUCCUAGGCUCCAGAACCAUGAGAAAGAUGAGGAAAGGAGAAAAGGUGGGAUACCUGGGUGGUUCAGUCGGUUAAGCGUCUGCCUUUGGCUCAGGUCCUGACCUCAGGGUCCUGGGAUUGAGCCCCACGUUGGGCUCCCUGCUCAGCGGGGAGUGUCCUUCUCCCUCUCCCUCUGUUCCUCUGCUCAUGCUC